UUCCAGGUGGCUCAGUGAUAAAGAAUCUGCCUGCAAUGCAGGAGACUCAGGUUCUAUCCCUGGGUUGGGAA
rnacentral:tRNA from 1 species